UACGGAGGGCGCAAGCGUUAUCCGGAAUUAUUGGGCGUAAAGAGCUCGUAGGCGGUUUGUCGCGUCUGCCGUGAAAGUCCGGGGCUUAACUCCGGAUCUGCGGUGGGUACGGGCAGACUAGAGUGCAGUAGGGGAGACUGGAAUUCCUGGUGUAGCGGUGAAAUGCGCAGAUAUCAGGAGGAACACCGAUGGCGAAGGCAGGUCUCUGGGCUGUAACUGACGCUGAGGAGCGAAAGCAUGGGGAGCGAACAGG
rnacentral:rRNA from 1 species